AACGAACGCUGGCGGCAUGCCUAACACAUGCAAGUCGAACGAGACCUCCGGGCCUUUUUGCGCACGUGUGCGUAACGCGUGGGAACCUGCCCUUAGGUUCGGAAUACCUCCCCUAAAGGGGUCCUAAUACCGGUUAAUCUCUUCGGACCAAGGAUGUAUCGCGUUUGGUUGGGCCCGCGUUGGAUUCGCGGGUUGGUAGGGUAAAAGCAUGCCAUGGCGACGAUCCAUAGCUGGUCUGAGAGGAUGAUCAGCCACACUGGCAAUAAGACACGGCCCAGAAUCGGACGGAAAGGAGGAGAGGGGAAUAUUGGACGAGGGGGGAAGGCCUGAUAAAGCAAUGCGGGGUGAGAGAUGAAGGCCGUAGGGAAGUAAAGCUCUUUUACACGGGAUGAUAAUGACGGUACCGGGAGAAUAAGCACCGGCUAACUACGUG
rnacentral:rRNA from 1 species